rnacentral:SRP_RNA from 1 species
GCUGGGUGUGGUGGUGCACACCUAUAAUCCUAGCUACUCAGGAAGCUGAGGUGGGAGGAUCACUUGAACCCAGGAGAAGGAGGGUGCAGUGAGCCAAGAUUGUGCCACUGCACUAUAGCCUGGGCAACAGAGUGAGACUCCGUCUCAA